CCAAGAAAACUGCUUACUGUUGUUUGGGCCUGGCACAUUGUGUGUUCUUGCCCAAUUUGCCUCUGGUAGCCUCCAUUGGCAAGAAAUUGGAUGGAGCACAAUACCUACAAUAACAUUAUUCAUUAUCUGAUCCGUCCAGUAGUUUGAGCUGUGCAUUGAUAGAUCAGUCAGUCACCUUUUCCUUUUUUAUAUUUAGACUUAUCUCGUGUUGUCUACAUAGAACAUCGAUUUGCUUUUUUUGUUUAAAUAGGAUAAUUAAAAACCCCUUGUCUCAAAGUCUUCGAUAAGUCUAACAUUCAUUAAAUAACUUGACCGUCACUGGAAGCUUUAUAUUGAGAGUAGCAUUUCCGUUUCCGUCGAUUUCAUGCCAGUUUUCGUACUUUUAUUGAUAUCAUAUCCGGUUUUGUGGCGCCACCUGGCGGUGUCGCGCUCAAAGUUUUCUUAAAUUUUUCAGCGCGGCCAUGGCUUCAUUGGCGUUUUGUUUGCCGUCGAAGCAACUUGCAAUCAGUCAACACAAAACUUUGCAAGAUAUUUUUAUUUUAUUUCAUUGUGUGGUACUUAAUAAAGUGAAUUUGGUGAAUAAUUCGCAGUAAGUACUUAUUU